GAAACUGGGAGGGAGCAUAGCUGGCAUGGGUGUCCCAAACUGACCAAAGGAAUAUUCCACACCAUACAACAUCAUGCCCAGUAAAUAAACUGGGGGGAGUUACUUGGAAGAGCAGAUGAUCUGGGUUCAGGAAGGGGGGUCUGGCAUCGGUCAGAAGGUGUCAAGCACUGUGACCAAAGCACUACGUAGAAGAUCAGUCCAAGCAUUCUGACUCUUCUCUGCCCGAGCCAUUGGAGAAGACAAGAGUCCUUUUAGAGCUUGUAGAGAUGCAGCAACUGUCAGAGAUUCCUGGAAAUAGAAGAGAUUGUAAAGGUACUGUUCAGACUAAAACUACGCCUUAAUUCUGGGGGGCAUUUGGUCAUUAUGCAUUACCUGAUCACCACCUAUUUUGGACCUUGGCCAUGGGACAUCGAAGAGUGCCUGCAGGGCAUGUAAGCAGGCAAUAAUGUUCUCCAUUGCUGCAUCUGAUCGAGGAGAGCAC